rnacentral:rRNA from 1 species
AGUGAACGCUGGCGGUAGGCCUAACACAUGCAAGUCGAACGGCAGCACAGUAAGAGCUUGCUCUUACGGGUGGCGAGUGGCGGACGGGUGAGGAAUACAUCGGAAUCUACUUUUUCGUGGGGGAUAACGUAGGGAAACUUACGCUAAUACCGCAUACGACCUACGGGUGAAAGCAGGGGAUCUUCGGACCUUGCGCGAUUGAAUGAGCCGAUGUCGGAUUAGCUAGUUGGCGGGGUAAAGGCCCACCAAGGCGACGAUCCGUAGCUGGUCUGAGAGGAUGAUAGGCCACACUGGAACUGAGACACGGUCAAGACUCCUACGGGAGGCAGCAGUGGGGAAUAUUGGACAAUGGGCGCAAGCCUGAUCCAGCCAGACCGCGUGGGUGAAGAAGGCCUUCGGGUUGUAAAGCCCUUUUGUUGGGAAAGAAAAGCAGCAGGUUAAUACCCCGCUGUUCUGACGGUACCCAAAGAAUAAGCACCGGCUAACUUCGUG